GGAUAACUGCGUUAGGGAUUGUUGUGAAUAGCUUUUAGCGAGGCGCGCAUCGAGCAAAAACUUGUAACGAAAAGCCCGACCCAUG
rnacentral:sRNA from 1 species